AUUGAACGCUGGCGGCAUGCUUUACACAUGCAAGUCGAACGGUAACAGGCCGCAAGGUGCUGACGAGUGGCGAACGGGUGAGUAAUGCAUCGGAACGUGCCCAGUCGUGGGGGAUAACGCAGCGAAAGCUGCGCUAAUACCGCAUACGAUCUAUGGAUGAAAGCGGGGGACCGUAAGGCCUCGCGCGAUUGGAGCGGCCGAUGUCAGAUUAGGUAGUUGGUGGGGUAAAGGCUCACCAAGCCAACGAUCUGUAGCUGGUCUGAGAGGACGACCAGCCACACUGGGACUGAGACACGGCCCAGACUCCUACGGGAGGCAGCAGUGGGGAAUUUUGGGACAAUGGGCGCAAGCCUGAUCCAGCAAUGCCGCGUGCAGGAAGAAGGCCUU
rnacentral:rRNA from 1 species